rnacentral:rRNA from 1 species
GUCCAGCCUGCCCAGUGACUUAGUUAAACGGCCGCGGUACCCUGACCGUGCGAAGGUAGCAUAAUCACUUGUUCUUUAAAUAAGGACUAGUAUCAACGGCAUCACGAGGGUUACACUGUCUCCUCCCUCCAAUCAGUGAAACUGAUCUCCCCGUGAAGAAGCGGGGAUAAAAAUAUAAGACGAGAAGACCCCAUGGAGCUUUAAACCCAACAACAACCUCUAUGCACACCCCCUAAUAAAUGCAGAAGUACUGUCUGUUGGUUUUAGGUUGGGGUGACCGCGGAGUAAAACUUAACCUCCACGAUGAACGGGAUUAACCCCUAAUCCAAGAGCCACCGCUCUAAGAAUCAAUAAAUUGACAUGAAAUGAUCCGACAAUCGAUCAACGAACCAAGUUACCCUGGGGAUAACAGCGCAAUCCAUUUCAAGAGCUCCUAUCGACAAAUGGGUUUACGACCUCGAUGUUGGAUCAGGGUAUCCCAGUGGUGCAGCCGCUACUAAAGGUUUGUUUGUUCAACAAUUAAAACCCUACGU